rnacentral:sRNA from 1 species
UUGAAGAGGAAAAAAAAA